AUUGAACGCUGGCGGCAUGCUUUACACAUGCAAGUCGAACGGUAACAGGUUAAGCUGACGAGUGGCGAACGGGUGAGUAAUGCAUCGGAACGUGCCCGGUCGUGGGGGAUAACGCAGCGAAAGCUGCGCUAAUACCGCAUACGAUCUGAGGAUGAAAGCGGGGGACCGUAAGGCCUCGCGCGAUCGGAGCGGCCGAUGUCAGAUUAGGUAGUUGGUGGGGUAAAGGCUCACCAAGCCAACGAUCUGUAGCUGGUCUGAGAGGACGACCAGCCACACUGGGACUGAGACACGGCCCAGACUCCUACGGGAGGCAGCAGUGGGGAAUUUUGGACAAUGGGCGAAAGCCUGAUUCAGCAAUGCUGCGUGCAGGAAGAAGGCCUUCGGGUUGUAAACUGCUUUUGUACGGAGCGAAAAGGUCUCCUCUAAUACAGGGGGCUCAUGACGGUACCGUAAGAAUAAGCACCGGCUAACUACGUGCCAGCAGCCGCAGUAA
rnacentral:rRNA from 1 species